rnacentral:sRNA from 1 species
ACAUUGCGCGUGAGGGAUAGUAGUGGAAAUCCUUUUUUAUUAUGAAGCGAUAGCGGAAUAAUAAAAAAGAUUGAAACGGAUAGCCCGACCCCGU